rnacentral:pre_miRNA from 1 species
UCCCUGAGACUCUACUUGUGACAGAUUUAAUAUGUCCCAAGUUAGAUGAUCAGGUACC